GAGGUCGACGGACGAUAUUCGAAACAUCUGUAUUCUGCUGAUAGACACGUCUCCACACGAUGUGGAGUGGCUCCCUCCCUUGUCCCC
rnacentral:ribozyme from 1 species